AACGAACGCUGGCGGCAUGCCUAACACAUGCAAGUCGAACGAGACCUUCGGGUCUAGUGGCGCACGGGUGCGUAACGCGUGGGAACCUGCCCUUAGGUUCGGAAUAACUCCCCGAAAGGGGUGCUAAUACCGGAUAAUGUCUUCGGACCAAAGAUUUAUCGCCUUUGGAUGGGCCCGCGUUGGAUUAGCUAGUUGGUAGGGUAAAAGCCUACCAAGGCGACGAUCCAUAGCUGGUCUGAGAGGAUGAUCAGCCACACUGGGACUGAGACACGGCCCAGACUCCUACGGGAGGGAGCAGUGGGGGAUAUUGGAAAAUGGGCGAAAGCCUGAUCCAGCAAUGCCGCGUGAGUGAUGAAGGCCUUAGGGUUGUAAAGCUCUUUUACCCGGGAUGAUAAUGACAGUACCGGGAGAAUAAGCUCCGGCUAACUCCGUG
rnacentral:rRNA from 1 species